GACGAACGCUGGCGGCGUGCUUAACACAUGCAAGUCGAACGGAAAGGCCCUGCUUUUGUGGGGUGCUCGAGUGGCGAACGGGUGAGUAACACGUGAGUAACCUGCCCUUGACUUUGGGAUAACUUCAGGAAACUGGGGCUAAUACCGGCUAGGAGCUCCUGCUGCAUGGUGGGGGUUGGACAGUUUCGGCGGGUGGGGCUGGACUCGCGGCUUAUCAGCUUGUUGGUGGGGUAUGGGUUUACCACGGCUCUGCCGGGUAGGCCGCCUGGGAGGGUGACCGGCGACAUUGGGACUGCGGGAGGGCGCAGACUGGUACGGGAGGCAGCAGUGGGGAAUAUUGCACAAUGGGCGCACGCCUGAUGCAGCAACGCCGCGUUCGGGAUGACGGCCUUGGGGUUGUAAACGGCUUUCGCCUGUGACGAAGCGUGAGUGACGGUAAUGGGUAAAGAAGCACCGGCUAACUACGUG
rnacentral:rRNA from 1 species